rnacentral:other from 1 species
AUCUCUACAAGAGGAUGUCGGAGAUGGAUUACGGGAAGAAAUAAGGCCUUGACACCCCCGAGCACAGUGCAAUAAAAUCUUAGCUGUGCUCGGGGAUUGUCCCGGCGGAAUAAAUCAGGAAAGAAGUAACAGGAGAAUGCGGUAAUGGCAAAAGGUGUGGUCAAAUGGUUUAAUGACAGCAAGGGUUUUGGUUUCAUCGAGCAGGACAACGGCGAUGAUGUCUUCGUGCACUUCUCCGCUAUCCAGGGCGACGGCUUCAAAUCUCUGGCAGAAGGCGAUGCGGUAACGUUUGACGUGCAGAAAGGGCCGAAAGGCCUUCAGGCAGCCAACGUGACAAGGGUUUAAAGUCAGCUUUAAACGACAAAAAAGCCCCGGAGCGAUCCGGGGCUUUUUUU